CACCAGCAGCUCAACAGGCAUCGGUGCCAAUGCUAAAGCAGCAAAACCAAAAGAGGCUAAAGAAAAGGGCAAAGGUGCUGAAGUGUCCAAGUUCUUUUCAUUGAAGAAAGUGAUGAAGGGGAUAGAGAAGGGGAUAUCCGCGACAAACGAUGUGGCUGAUAUCACUAAGACCAUAGAGGAGCUGAAUAAAUGAAUUACUAACUUGAAUUCCGAUAAUCUACUCAUAUACCCCUGUAACUAAGCAACAUAAGUAUGGAACUCUGAUCUACAUACUGUUGUGUCCCAAAUGGCGGCACUGAAUUGUUAUCGCCAUGAAAAUAAAAAUCCUUAAUAAUUUGAAGCUGAAU